GACGGGGGAGGCAAGCGUUAUCCGGAAUCACUGGGCGUAAAGCGUCUGUAGGUGGUGAUGCAAGUCACUGGAGCAAAACUCUGGCUCAACCGGAGGAAAGCCAGUGAAACUGCAUGACUAGAGUGUGGGAGAGGUAGAAGGAAUUCCCUGAGUAGCGGUGAAAUGCGUAGAUACAGGGAAGAACACCGGAGGCGAAAGCGUUCUACUGGAACACAACUGACACUGAGAGACGAAAGCUAGGGGAGCGAAGGGG
rnacentral:rRNA from 1 species